rnacentral:rRNA from 1 species
CGGGAGCCCCGGAAAGAGUUCUCUUUUCUUUUUAACAGUCGAAUGACCCCGGAAUUGGUUUAUCCAGAGAUGGGGUCGCCCGGCUGGCAUGAGCAUCCAACUUGUUGGGUGUCCGGUGCGCUCACGACAAUCCUUGAAAAGCCAAGGGCGAAACUUAUUCAGCACCUGUCCGUACCUAUAACCGCAUCAGGUCCUCAAGGUGAACAGCCUCUAGUGCUUGCAGUAACGUGGGUAAGGGAAGUCGGCAACUUUGGUCUGUAACUUUGGGAUAAGGACUGGCUCUAAGGGCUGCGUGUUCGGGUUCCGUUGGUUGAAGGUUCGUCUUGCGUCCGGACUACGGCGCUUGUCUGCUCUCGGGUGGGCUCGCUGCUGUGGACUGGUCCUUGGCGUGCUGGAUCCUUUGGAAUGGUGACGGGACUCACGGGUCUCGAAUCCUCCUCCCGUUCACAUUCAACAGCUAUCUUGGAACCGUUGCGGACAAGGGGAAUCCGACCGUUUAAUUAAAACAAAGCAAUGUGAAGGUCAUCA